GACGAACGCUGGCGGCGUGCUUAACACAUGCAAGUCGAACGGAAAGGCCCCUUUGGGGGUCCUCGAGUGGCGAACGGGUGAGUAACACGUGAGUAACCUGCCCUUGACUUCGGGAUAACUUCAGGAAACUGGGGCUAAUACCGGAUAGGAAUCCUUGCUGCAUGGUGGGGGUUGGAAAGCUUCGGCGGUUUUGGAUGGACUCGCGGCUUAUCAGCUUGUUGGUGGGGUAGUGGCUUACCAAGGCUUUGACGGGUAGCCGGCCUGAGAGGGCGACCGGCUACAUUGGGACUGAGAUACGGCCCAGACUCCUACGGGAGGCAGCAGUGGGGAAUAUUGCACAAUGGGCGGAAGCCUGAUGCAGCAACGCCGCGUGCGGGAUGACGGCCUUCGGGUUGUAAACCGCUUUCAGCAGGGGCGAAGCUUGUGGUGACGGUACCUGCAGAAGAAGCACCGGCUAACUACGUG
rnacentral:rRNA from 1 species